AUUGUUUUUGUGCCGGAAACUAAGGGUUUGACAUUUGAGGAAGUGGAGAGGGUCUGGAAAGAGAGAGCUUGGGGCGGUGGAUAUGGCAGAGAAGCACUCCUUGAAGCAGGAAAUGAGCAGUGAGUGCACCCUCUUCAUACCUAUAGAGAGGAUUAUUAUAGAAACACGAAGUACAAUGACUUGUAUUAUUUUGAGUUCUCUCUAAUCAGACGACCUGAAAAUCCAUCAAUUAGAGUAUGU
rnacentral:lncRNA from 1 species